rnacentral:rRNA from 1 species
GAUGAACGCUGGCGGCGUGCCUAAUACAUGCAAGUCGAGCGAACAGACGAGGAGCUUGCUCCUCUGACGUUAGCGGCGGACGGGUGAGUAACACGUGGAUAACCUACCUAUAAGACUGGGAUAACUUCGGGAAACCGGAUCUAAUACCGGAUAAUAUAUUGAACCGCAUGGUUCAAUAGUGAAAGACGGUUUUGCUGUCACUUAUAGAUGGAUCCGCGCCGCAUUAGCUAGUUGGUAAGGUAACGGCUUACCAAGGCAACGAUGCGUAGCCGACCUGAGAGGGUGAUCGGCCACACUGGAACUGAGACACGGUCCAGACUCCUACGGGAGGCAGCAGUAGGGAAUCUUCCGCAAUGGGCGAAAGCCUGACGGAGCAACGCCGCGUGAGUGAUGAAGGUCUUCGGAUCGUAAAACUCUGUUAUUAGGGAAGAACAAAUGUGUAAGUAACUAUGCACGUAUUGACGGUACCUAAUCAGAAAGCCACGGCUAACUACGUG